GGAUUUCACUCUGCAUGUCCUCUGCCUGAACAAAGAUCCACUCUAAACAGAUUCUACAUUCUCUCUGCAACUUUAAAAAGACCAGCCAGAUAAGAUAAACCACAUUAAAUUUUAAAUGAAGAUGAUAUUUAGAUACACGCCCUGCCCUGCUGUCCAUAUCCAUCUAUUUAUGAUCACAUUGUACUGUUGGCUCCUUCCAUCAUGCUACAAAGUUCAAAUAACCCAACAGGUUUGUUUUCACUUUACAAUAAGUUCCCUGCACACCACUGUUCUCCACAGUCACCAUAGAUGUGUAGUCAAUGCAUAAUGUAAUCAUGCCUAUGUGGACCAAAAUCUCUGAGGAAUGUUUCCAACACAAUUUUGAAUCCAUGGUGAAGAGAAAACCUGUUAACGUUUGGAGACAGAUUUCCUGCAGCCCUGGAGUUGAGUGGGCUGUCACUGGUAUACGUCCUUCCUAUAGGAAACUCAUCAUGAUUGGACACAAUGAGAUGUAUAUUUCUAUCACCCCCUGCUGUCCUCGCUGCACACAGAGGACUUAUUCUUGUCCUACAUGCCACCUGUAGGUUCACCGAUGACGCCUGUGGCAGAUGAUGCACACUCUGCUGUCGCGCUGUGACUAAUAGAUAUUGCUGUGAGGCGAGAGCAAGCUGCCCGUCUCCUUGAUUAGUAUCUCUCUCUCUCUUAAAAUCUCUCUAUUGAUCUUUUUUUCACGUCUUCUGCAGUAAAAGCUUUAAAUCUCGCUGAGGACGUGUUUGAGAGCAAAUCAUGAGUCAGAGAUCUAAUUGGAGUUUUUUUAGUGUGACACGGCAAAACUGAAAUCACGAAACAGGAGAAUGUGUCCUGACAUUAGCUCGCUUUGUGUAACGUCACCUCGACCUCUCUCCUCUACAGAGGCAGCAGGAGGAGACGGGCAGAGCGACCAGCAGGGUGACAUCAUCGCUAACCGUGGGAGCCUGGCCUGCUGGUUAUGCCAGCGGUGCGACUGCAUGUCACUUCCUGGGAGAAAAUGGAACAGGAAGCCAGAGAGAGAGAGAGAGCUGCUCUUGGGAAAGCUGUACAUAAUUUAGAAGAGCUCUCAGACUUGGACUGGACUCCUCCCAAUCAGAUGCCCCAGUGGACACACCUGUGUGCCCAUCAGCUCAGCUCCUGAGGUUGUCUGACCAACUGUCAGGCUUUCAGCUGAAUCUUCUCCCAGUCUGUUGGGAGGUGAGUAUUAGUUUAUUUGCACAAGUAAAAUGCUUUUUUUCUUCAUCUUAACUUUAUUCAUACAGACUGAAGGUUUCUUUAACUGCCUGUUUCUUUAAGCUGGUCAUGUUGCUCUGUUCUUGUUUAAUCAGUUUUUUCACACAAUACUUAAGGGGAAACUCCAUGAUCUCUGCUGUGCUCCCUGGAUCAGGUUGAUCUCCUGGCUGUAGCUGAGCUCACAGAAGGCCUUCUCUAAGAAGCUGGUUUCACGUGGUGGUUUAGAUGUUUGUUCCUGUUGUCUAGCACCAUAUGAAAUCAGUGUUCUUGGGGACAGAAGGAUCGCUCUGGCAGCAGGCAGGCAGCCCAGCGCUGGCCUCUCCCUCUAAGUCACCACUAAAAGAUAACUGAUUUCUUCUGGUGCUUAGAGCCAUCUGCAGCCUUCUAGCACCAUUUGAAAUCGGUUAUGACACUGUGGAUCACUACAUCUGAGGCUUAGCAACUCAUCUGGAGACGACUGGAGAGAAGCACUGUUAAAUGGAUUUGUGUUUUGACCCCUUUUUUUUCUUUUAAUGUGGCUGCAGUUCACAAUAUUUGCCACCAGGGGUGCCAGAAUUCAUAAAAAUACAGAUUGUCCCUAAAACCCAAAUGUCAUUGUGCCUGUUUGUAUAUGAUAAUGAAAUUCUGACGGUGACGGCUGUUUCAAAAAUUAAAACCGACUGGGGGACAGUGGAACUGUUCUGGAGUUCCAGUUACCAAGAUUGAGCAAUUGGAGACCAGAAUAUAUUAAAUUAAUUUUAUUCACAUUUUAAUGCAUUGUUGGCUCCAGUCAGGAUUAAGAGAGUGGAAGAACUUUGAAUGUAAUAUCAAACUGACCUGGAAAGAGUUGCUUCACAAAAUCCUAACACUGUAAGAAAACAAUGAACCGCCUAUCAGUGAAUGCAGUUCAAACACAUUCAUUAAUAAUGGAGCAUCCUGGACUAGGACUGAAAUGAUUCAUCAGGUCCAUCUAUUACUAAAAUAAUUGUCAACAAAUUUACUUAACAAUUAAUCACUAACUGGAGUAAAAAUACCUCUCAAAUAUGCCAUUUGCUGAAAGAACAGUAAAAGCAGUAAAAAGGGUAAAAACAGCAACAAAAAAAAUAACGUACAUUUACAUUUAGGAUAAAAAUGUAAAUCUGUUUUAUCUUGAAGUGGGAUAAUUUUAGCUUUACCUGGUUAAAAAGCCCAUAUUAAGCAAUUUUUACUAUCCAAUUAUUAAGUGUAUGAUCCAAAACUACUCACCAGAUCUGCUCUACUGCAUUGUUGUUCACUACAGAUGCUUUCUGUACAAAUGACCAAGCAUUCACUAAGCAAGUGUUAUUGUAAUAAAAUGUUAAUUUUCCUUACUUAAAAAUGAAAUUAACUGUUUAUUUGCAACUUUCAAUGUAUUUCUAAUAUUGUACAUUAAGAAUGAAGUUUGGCCUGCAAUGGGUCAGUGUGUCUGUGUGUUUGAAAUAAAUCACAAAUAUUACUCAUAAAACUUAUUAAAAACUAAGGCUGAAAGUAUUACAAAAUCUAUGCUGUUUAUGUUUUUUUUCCUAUAAUGUUGACUUUUUUUAUAGCCAUGCUUUUAUUACCUGAACUGCGAUGCUCAUUCCCAUUCAUUGUUUGUUCACCUAAAGUAACUGAAGUAGGCAGUGUGAAGAAAACAAGAGAAUUAAAACAUUUCCUCCUCUG